GCUCCUCAAGUGCCCCCAAAGUGGGAGCCCAGGCAGAGGGGGCGCCGAGAGCGAGCGAGGGCUGUGAGGACUGCCAGCACGCUGUCACCUCUCACAAGGAAGGCCGCUGUGGAGCGUGGAGGAAGCGCUCCCGGGCGGGAAGGCCGCUGUGGAGACUGGAGGAAGCGCUUCCGGGCGGGGAAGGCCGUUGCGCAGCCUGGAGGAAGCGCUUCUGGGUGGGGAAGGCCGCUGGGAGCAUGAACUUCUGAGCAGGACUGACCAGAGGAGACUGCAUUGUGUCUAAAUAGAACUGUCAUUUGUCCAAGAACCCACCAAUUCCGGACACAAUGGCAUGAAGACAAUGUGGCUGGGCCUGUGACUGGUUGGACCAAGAUGAAGCAGAGGAAUUGCUGUUCUGGGAUUUUGGAGCCCAGGCCUUAGAAUGUGACAGGCUGUGUUUUUUUCCUGCCUUUUUAACAUGUCAUAAAAUUUUUUGUGAAAAGCUGGACUUAAUGUAUUGGAGAAUUGAAACUGAGUUGGAAGAUUCUGUGCCUGUUGUCAAGGUGACACUCCCCGGAAUUUUAAAGAGAAGUUUUAAAGUAGGAUGCUUUGGCUAGUAUUUGCAGAAACAUAUACACUUUUUUUACAUGAUAAGGAAAACAACAGAUAUUUAUUCUUCAUCCCAGGGGGAAAAAAACCCUUGGAGGAAUAAUUCAGAGGCAACAUCCUUAACGGGUGAUCAGUAGACACAAGACUCAUCCCAGUGAGCCACUGGUUCUGGCAGCUGUGUGACUUUGGACAGAGAUAUCUACAAUCUUUCAAUAUUGUUUGUGCACCAACUGCAUUCUCCACGUUGUAUUACUGCAGAUUUAUUGAUGAGUAAAACAAAUUCCUACCCUCAAGGAGUUUGCAAGCAAAAGAGUGAAAUGAAGAUGAAAGUGCAAUGCUCCACUGUCUUUUCGUGUGCUCAGAGAUUACUUUCUUAAUCUUUAAAAUGAAAGGCUUUUGCCUAAAUGACUGAGUGAUGUUGCACCUAUAACCCUAAUAUUCUUUGAUUCCCAAGGACAAGAAUCAGAACUAACAAGGUAUAUAAUGACAAAAGAAUUUUCAUUAUGAGGAACUUAUCAAGAAAUCAUAGAGUGGAGAGACUUGCACUAAAAACACUUAAAAUGAAUGGGAAGCCCGUCAGCAUAUUGUAUGUCCAUAUUUUCCAAAAAGAGUUAAGUUUGUAAGCUACUGCAUAGGACCAUGGGAAUUCUGGAUGUCCUUGGACUGUAUCACAUGUGGUUUCUUGGCAUCUUAGAUGAUGCAAUUUUUUAUUGCUUUGUCCGUGCAAUAAACGCUGAUAAAUUUUUCGGUUUAAAAUUUACCAAGUCUGCUACUGUAUCCCAGAAUUCUCAAUGAAAGAAAAUAUUUACAGUUUUUAACAUUACAGGUAGAAAAAGGAUCAAAGUGAUUGGUUACAAAAGAGAAAAAAAGAAGCACAGAAAACGUGAAACAAGUGGAAGAUAAAAAGAAAGCUUGUAUUAAACAAAUUCAGAUAUAGCGAUGAUCACACAAAUUGAGAGUGGACUAAGCAAAUUGAACAAUCUGAGGUUUUUUAGAUAGGAUUAAAUAAGAACCACUAUACACUAUUGUCAAGACAUGGCUAAACAGCUGAAGAGAAUGGACA
rnacentral:lncRNA from 1 species